UGAUGGAGGCAGCUACAACAUGGACAAGUUAAGAACAGCUGUGCCAAGGUCAGGCAAUAUGUCCCUCUAGCCCAUGAUCCUUUAAUAGUGGUAACUUCUCAGCUUCCAAUACUUUAUGGUGUCAAGAAAUUUCCUAAGCAGAGGCUUGUAGCUCCUAAACCUAUCCAGCAAAAACAGGUCCAUUGAGGGGUCAAAGAAGUGUACAGUCAGAACCAAAGGAAGAGAAGCAAAGUGUGACAGGGGAGAAAUGGAGGGAGCUGCUUGCUCUUGUACCUAUUUUGGUAGCAAUAAAACUACACAGGUUUUGCAAUCUUGUCAGUGCACCCUAAAAUAUGCUGAUUUACAUGUUGGUUCUCCCAGUCACUGGAAACAAGGAUCUUCCAGGGAGCAUUAAGCCACAGUGACCUUUAAGUCAAUUUAUUUCUGAAUGGGAGCAUUCCCAUAGGUAUGUAAUGCUUUGUUUUUUGCAUGGUAAUUUCACACCUUUAGCCUCCUUAACUUGUCAGUGGUUCCCCACACAGCUCUGUACCAACUACAUUACUAUUUUCACUAUUUUGUAUUCAAAAAUGAAAGGGAAUCUGAAAAAAGCAUAAAGGCUGGAAAAAGUGCUUCAAAUGUUUGCAGCUCUUAGACAACUCAUUUUCCUCUGUGUCUAGGCACUGUGACUAAGCUGAAUUCUUAACAGAGCAGUGGCAGAUCUCGGUUCAGCACAGAUGCACAUUAUAGCAACUCCUUGGGCUGUUUUGACUUGAUGCCAUGCACCCUCUUUUACACUGGCAUUCCAAGGAUGUUAAUCCCAGCACAACAUGAGAAGAGCAUGCCAAAGGUGGGGUGCUCCUGCCCUGCUUCUCUUGCACUGCACCAGAGUGGAAGGGGAUGGGGGUGAUCGCAGUGGAUAGUGAACCAUGGUGACAGAUCUGAGAGCUGCAGAAGCAAGAAGAAGCAAGAAGCUUUUAGACAAAGCUCUGCAUCCUAGCCGCCUGAGAGGUAGCUCUUUUUCCUUGGCUUUGUUGGUGGGUGUUGCCACUCCGACUGCUGGGGCAUGGUCUGCUGCCCAUGAGAGUGUGCAGGCUCUUCCUCUGCUAUUAAGUUGCAAAUAUCUGCUUGCUACCAUAUGGCUGCAUUGCAAACAGGAAGAGAGGAGAAGAAACUGUAAAGCAACAGCAAAAAUUCUGUUCAAUGCACUUCCAUGGUGAAAGGGCUGCGGACUCACCCUCCUCUUCCCCCAAGUCCUUACAGCUACUGGUUUAAGUAGGCACACCUGCAUCCAUGUCACUUCCCCACUGAACUGCUCCAAGCAAAGUCCAUGCUUCCUUGCUUGAAAGUCUGAAUCUUGUAUAAUUCAGGGUGCUCUUACCCUCUGCUACUGGAAACAGGAGGCUAAAGGAAGAAUUAAGAGAGAUGGGGUUUGCUUUGAUUGAGAUGUUUUGGGGAAGUUUUCAGGCUUGCUGGAUUGAUCUGGUGAAGAAGUAGAGGCUCUUCUGUCCUCUUAAAGUGGCUAAUUCCCUCACACCACAAUAGGAGAGAAUCAUGCAGCAGCAUCACCAACAGCAGAAAGAGGAUAUUUUGCAAUACAAUUUUCUGUAUGGCUGAAGAACAAAUGCUUUCCUUGUUCUCCAUGGAACUAAUAAAGAAAGGCAAGUUGAGGAGUCUAGGGUAAUUAGUAAUCUUAAAUAUUUAUGAGCUACAGAAUGUGCUACAUGCAAUUUAACAGGGACUUGACAAUUGCAGCAUACAUCACUUGUUUCACAGGGGCUAAAAAUACUUAAUCUUACUCCUUUAGAAUAAAAGCAUUAAUCCUAAAUAUGUCUUAAGCUAAGCAUUAAGCUGUAAACCGUGAGAUGAAGGAGGAAAAGUUUUUUUUCCUUAUUGCAAAGGUGCAGGUUAGGGAAAACACUGCAGGAAUAAAAGUUUUGUUGAGAAGAUUUUAUGUGAGCUUUCUAGGUGUGGUGAUGGUGGUAGGGGGUGUGUAAUUCCUGGUAGUAAACAGUUUGCCAUUGGCUUCACCAAGAUCUGUGGAAUUUUGUUCUGUUUAGUAGGCUGGAAAAGGGAUAGACUUUCCAACUUUGCUUUGGUGACAAUAAAAUCAUUGUUGUAAAUCCAAAUAAUCAGUUAUAUUGGGAUAACUCUCCCCAUACCAUCUCUUUACAGGACUCUGGAGCCACAAAUCCAUAACACAAAGCCUCUUCUCUGACUUUUUCUGGCUUUCACAUGCCUUUCUGUUCCAUGUGUGAUUUGUUGAUGCACAGCUGGUAGUGGAGAAAUUCACAUGGAAGGACAGCAUCCACUGGCCAUGGAAUCAUACAUAGUAGAACUCAAGUUUUCUAGAACAUUUUGCUUUAUUUUAGUCAGUACUAGUGCUAGAACAGGCUUUCUGAAUUUCAGAUUUCAUAAUUUCUGUCUGCAUAAUAAUCUCCAAAUUAAUAGCUGUAGUAAUAAUAGCACUUUGUUUGCAUGGUUUUAUAGCAGGUAGCUGUUAGUUCAUUUUGAUGAGAGCAACACUGAUGUGGGAGAGACCUAUAAUGUCUCUGUUUCUUAUUUCCUCACAAGUUGCACAGUAGACAAAUUUGUAAGCAUGAACAGAUUUAGUCUUACGUAUUUUUCUCCAUUUGCAGCUCUGUACAAUCACUAUACUUGAAAAUGUUUCAGUACUGCUGAAUUUGGCAGACUGCUUGAAUUCUGGCUCUUAAUUUUGGCAGUUGUCUUUAUCCAUUGUGACAACUCAAGAGUGGUCAGGAUUAGAACCACCAGUAAUUUGGGUUUCCUCAUAUGUAUCUUACUUUUUUUGCCAGGAAAUUUUGUCUAGGAGUAAUUUGAAUACCUUGGCUUUAGAAUAGAAUACAUCUCUGUGUGUGCACCUAGAGUAAAUUUGCUUGCUUUGUGAUGCCUGGGAUUCAGUGUGUACACACAUAUUAAAUGCACAGAGGCAUGUCCAAAAAAACAAGUGCUCUGAGAGCAUCUUUGCUGAGCAGAUGUGCUUUUGCUGCUCAGUGUCACAGGACCCAUGUGACCUGUGUGUGUAGCACAAGCACUGAGGAGCUGCCUGGUACUAGAAUUCCCUGUCUGCACACAGCACAUGCACUGCUGUGCUCAGAAAUCCAUGGUCAUGCUCUGAAGAUAGUGUCUGCAUUGCAUCAGCUAUAACUCAUGCAUACUGAACAAUCUGCAUUGGAAAUUAUCAAGGAGAACAAAUGUUCUCCACCCUAGCAUCUGAAAUACUUGAUGCCUUCUGUGCUUAAUGAAAAGUGUCAUAUGCUUUCACCGAAUUGUGAGGGUUUUACAGUAAUUUCACGACUAUAAGGGG